rnacentral:rRNA from 1 species
UACGUAGGGUGCAAGCGUUGUCCGGAAUUAUUGGGCGUAAAGAGCUCGUAGGCGGUUUGUCGCGUCUGCUGUGAAAACCCGAGGCUCAACCUCGGGCCUGCAGUGGGUACGGGCAGACUAGAGUGGCGGUAGGGGAGAUUGGAAUUCCUGGUGUAGCGGUGGAAUGCGCAGAUAUCAGGAGGAACACCAAUGGCGAAGGCAGAUCUCUGGGCCGUAACUGACGCUGAGGAGCGAAAGCGUGGGGAGCGAACAGG